rnacentral:rRNA from 1 species
UACGAAGGGGGCUAGCGUUGUUCGGAUUUACUGGGCGUAAAGCGCACGUAGGCGGAUUGUUAAGUCAGGGGUGAAAUCCCAGAGCUCAACUCUGGAACUGCCUUUGAUACUGGCAAUCUCGAGUCCGGAAGAGGUGAGUGGAACUCCUAGUGUAGAGGUGGAAUUCGUAGAUAUUAGGAAGAACACCAGUGGCGAAGGCGGCUCACUGGUCCGGAACUGACGCUAAGGUGCGAAAGCGUGGGGAGCAAACAGG